rnacentral:rRNA from 1 species
AUGGUGUUAUUAGACGUUGUGUACCUGAGCAUGAACAGGAACAGAUCCUACGCAAGUGUCACUCUGAACCAUAUGGAGGACACCACGCUGGAGAUAGAACUGCACAUAAGGUAUUGCAAUCCGGUUUUUAUUGGCCUACUCUCUUCAAAGAUGCUCGUAAGUUUGUCUUGUCUUGUGAUGAAUGUCAAAGAAAUAGGUAAUAUUAGUAGACGUCAAGAAAUGCCUAUGAACUAUUCUCUUGUUAUUGAACCAUUUGAUGUUUGGGGCUUUGGUUAUAUGGGACCUUUUCUUGCCUCUAAUGGUUACACACAUAUUUUAGUUGCUGUUGAUUACGUUACUAAGUGGGUAGAAGCUAUUCCAACUAGUAGUGCUGAUCAUAACACCUCUAUUAUGAUGCUUAAAGAAAUUAUUUUUCCGAGGUUUGGAGUCCCUAGAUAUUUUAUGACUGAUGGUGGUUCACAUUUUAUUCAUGGUGCUUUCCGUAAGAUGCUUGCUAAGUAUGAUGUUAAUCAUAGAAUCGCAUCUCCUUAUCACCCACAGUCUAGUAAUCAAGUAGAGUUGAGCAAUAGAGAGCUCAAAUUAAUUUUGCAAAAGACUGAAUAG